rnacentral:lncRNA from 1 species
UAUAUCAACCCUUGUGUAUUAAUAAUGUCUUUUGGAAACAAACAUUAUGGAAUACAUUUGAUAAUCAAAGGCUUCUGGUUACAAAGUACAAUCACAACAACUUAAAUUCUUAGAGGUUAUUAACUAACUAAUCAACAACAACAACCAACACAAGUGGAUCUUCAAACUCCUCUGUUAACUACAUCACUAUGUGCCGAAAAC